rnacentral:piRNA from 1 species
UGAUAUGUGCAGGGCUGUUGAUCAAA